AAUACCCUGCUGUGUACGUGCAGCCUUUUAUUUUGAACCAACACCUUUAUAUAGGGAGUUCGGAGCCGACGGCUGAUGUCAAUGCCCCGGAUCGGGGACUGACGGAUUCUGCCGGUAGGACACCCACCUGCAGAUUGCAGACUCAAAAUACGGCAUUUACGGCAUGGUGGGGCUUAU
rnacentral:other from 1 species